GAUGAACGCUGGCGGCGUGCCUAAUACAUGCAAGUCGAGCGAACGGACGAGAAGCUUGCUUCUCUGAUGUUAGCGGCGGACGGGUGAGUAACACGUGGAUAACCUACCUAUAAGACUGGGAUAACUUCGGGAAACCGGAGCUAAUACCGGAUAAUAUUUUGAACCGCAUGGUUCAAAAGUGAAAGACGGUCUUGCUGUCACUUAUAGAUGGAUCCGCGCUGCAUUAGCUAGUUGGUAAGGUAACGGCUUACCAAGGCAACGAUGCAUAGCCGACCUGAGAGGGUGAUCGGCCACACUGGAACUGAGCCACGGUCCAGACUCCUACGGGAGGCAGCAGUAGGGAAUCUUCCGCAAUGGGCGAAAGCCUGACGGAGCAACGCCGCGUGAGUGAUGAAGGUCUUCGGAUCGUAAAACUCCGUUAUUAGGGAAGAACAUAUGUGUAAGUAACUGUGCACAUCUUGACGGUACCUAAUCAGAAAGCCACGGCUAACUACGUG
rnacentral:rRNA from 1 species